rnacentral:rRNA from 1 species
GACGAACGCUGGCGGCGUGCUUAACACAUGCAAGUCGAACGGAAAGGCCCUGCUUUUGCGGGGUGCUCGAGUGGCGAACGGGUGAGUAACACGUGAGUAACCUGCCCCUGACUUUGGGAUAACUUCAGGAAACUGGGGCUAAUACCGGAUAGGAGCUCCUGCUGCAUGGUGGGGGUUGGAAAGUUUCGGCGGUUGGGGAUGGACUCGCGGCUUAUCAGCUUGUUGGUGGGGUAGUGGCUUACCAAGGCUUUGACGGGUAGGCGGCCUGAGAGGGUGAACGGGGACAAUGGGACUGAGAUACGGACCAGUCGCCUACGGGAGGCAGCAGGGGAGAGCCUGGCGCAACAGGCGGACGCCUGAUACAGCAACCUCCGGUGCGUGAUGCCGGCUUUCGGGGGAUGAACAGCUUUGUCAUGAGACGAAGCCUGAGUGACGGUAAUGGGUAAGGAAGCACCGGCUAACUACGUG